AGUGAGCGCUGGCGGUAGGCCUAACACAUGCAAGUCGAACGGCAGCACAGUAAGAGCUUGCUCUUACGGGUGGCGAGUGGCGGACGGGUGAGGAAUACAUCGGAAUCUACUUUUUCGUGGGGGAUAACGUAGGGAAACUUACGCUAAUACCGCAUACGACCUACGGGUGAAAGCAGGGGAUCUUCGGACCUUGCGCGAUUGAAUGAGCCGAUGUCGGAUUAGCUAGUUGGCGGGGUAAAGGCCCACCAAGGCGACGAUCCGUAGCUGGUCUGAGAGGAUGAUCAGCCACACUGGAACUGAGACACGGUCCAGACUCCUACGGGAGGCAGCAGUGGGGAAUAUUGGACAAUGGGCGCAAGCCUGAUCCAGCCAUACCGCGUGGGUGAAGAAGGCCUUUGGGUUGUAAAGCCCUUUUGUUGGGAAAGAAAGGCAGCAGGUUAAUACCCCGCUGUUCUGACGGUACCCAAAGAAUAAGCACCGGCUAACUUCGUG
rnacentral:rRNA from 1 species